rnacentral:rRNA from 1 species
CUACGGGGCGCUGCAGUAAGGAAUAUUGCGCAAUGGAGGCAACUCUGACGCAGCCAUGCCGCGUGCAGGAAGAAGGCCUUAUGGGUCGUAAACUGCUUUUAUUUAGGAAUAAACCCCCAAACGUGUUCGGGGCUGAAGGUACUAAACGAAUAAGCACCGGCUAACUCCGUGCCAGCAGCCGCGGUAAUACGGAGGGUGCAAGCGUUAUCCGGAUUUAUUGGGUUUAAAGGGUGCGCAGGCGGGCUAUUAAGUCAGUGGUGAAAUCCCGGGGCUCAACUCCGGAACUGCCAUUGAUACUGAUAGUCUUGAGUUUGGUUGAAGUGGGCGGAAUGUAGCAUGUAGCGGUGAAAUGCAUAGAUAUGCUACAGAACACCAAUCGCGAAGGCAGCUCACUAAGCCAAAACUGACGCUCAUGCACGAAAGCGUGGGGAUCAAACAGGAUUAGAUACCCUUGUAGUC